CAGACAGACAGGUACAGAUAGACAGACAGACAGACAGACAGACAGAUUUAUUUCGUAGAGUGGCCAUGAGGCCAAAAGUACAGUGACAUUUUUACAUCAUGUUCUUUGAAGCGCUGGCAUGAGAAAUAC